rnacentral:rRNA from 1 species
AGCGAACGCUGGCGGCAGGCUUAACACAUGCAAGUCGAGCGGGCACUUCGGUGUCAGCGGCAGACGGGUGAGUAACCCGUGGGAACGUACCCUUUGGUUCGGAAUAACGCUGGGAAACUAGCGCUAAUACCGGAUACGCCCUUUUGGGGAAAGGCUUGCUGCCGAAGGAUCGGCCCGCGUCUGAUUAGCUCGUUGGUGGGGUAAUGGCCUACCAAGGCGACGAUCAGUAGCUGGUCUGAGAGGAUGAUCAGCCACACUGGGACUGAGACACGGCCCAGACUCCUACGGGAGGCAGCAGUGGGGAAUAUUGGACAAUGGGCGCAAGCCUGAUCCAGCCAUGCCGCGUGAGUGAUGAAGGCCUUAGGGUUGUAAAGCUCUUUUGUCCGGGACGAUAAUGACGGUACCGGAAGAAUAAGCCCCGGCUAACUUCGUG